CUGGGCCGGGCGUGGCGGCUGGAGCUGGGUCCCGCCCGCGCCUCCUUCGAGCUGCCCAAAACCCCAAACCAGCCCCAAAAACCCCCAAAACAGCCCGUAAAAAAUCCCAAAAAAUCCCAAAAAAACCCCGGAACAUCCCGGAACAUUCCGGAACAUUCCCAGCUGGAGCUGUCCUGUCUGGGCCGGGCAUGGCGGCUGGAGCUGGGUCCCGCCCGCGCCUCCUUCGAGCUGCCCAAAACCCCAAACCAGCCCCAAAAACCCCCAAAACACCCUGUAAAAAAUCCCAAAAAAUCCCAAAAAAACCCCGGAACAUCCCGGAACAUUCCGGAACAUUCCCAGCUGGAGCUGUGGUCUCUGGGCCGGGCGUGGCGGCUGGAGCUGGGUCCCGCCCGCGCCUCCUUCGAGCUGCCCGGCCUCUCGUGCUCCGGGCUCCGGGUCCGGCUCCUGCGGCUCUCGGGGGCGGCGGCGCAGCGCUGGCUGCGGCACCUGAGCCACGGCCGCGACUACGAGAUGAGACUCUGAGAAUUCCAGAGAAAUCCCGGGAAUUCCCGGAAUUCCGGAGCUCCGGAGACAUCCCACGGCCGCGACUACGAGAUGAGACUGUGAGAAUUCCAGAGAAAUCCCGGGAAAUCCCGGAAUUCCGGAGCUCCAGAGACAUCCCACGGCCGCGACUACGAGAUGAGGCUCUGAGAAUUCCAGAGAAAAUCCCAAAAAUCCCGGAAUUCCGGAGCUCCAGAGCUCCAGAGACAUCCCACGGCCGCCACUACGAGAUGAGACUGUGAGAAUUCCAGAGAAAAUCCCAAAAAUCCCGGAAUUCCGGAGACAUCCCACGGCCAUGACUGCGAGAUGAGGCUCUGAGAAUUCCCGAGAAAUUCCCAGGAAAUUCCCAAAUAAACAGCCCAGAACGAAGGAGUUGCUGCA
rnacentral:lncRNA from 1 species